rnacentral:snRNA from 1 species
AUACUUACCUGGCGCGGGGGAUACCGUGAUCAAGAAGGCGGUGCCUCCAGGACGAGGCCUGUACAUUGCACUCCGUAUGGCUGACUCCUGCGAACUACCCAAAUCGGGUGGCUCGAGCGGCAUAAUUUUUGGUAGUGGGGACAAAGCGUUCGCGCUGUCCCUUU